CGGGCCCCGCACAAGCAGCGGAGCGUGUGGUUUAAUUCGAUGUUACACGAAGAACCUUACCAGGGUUUGACAUGCAAGUGGUAGGAAGCCGAAAGGUGACCGACCCUUCGGGAGCUUGCACAGGUGCUGCAUGGCUGUCGUCAGCUCGUGUCGUGAGAUGUUGGGUUAAGUCCCGCAACGAGCGCAACCCUUAUCCCUAGUUGCCAUCAGGUAAAGCUGGGAACUCUGGGGAGACUGCCGGUGAUAAACCGGAGGAAGGCGGGGAUGACGUCAAGUCCUCAUGGCCCUUACAUCCCGGGCUACACACGUGCUACAAUGGCAGGUACAGAGGGCUGCGAAGCCGCGAGGUGGAGCGAAUCCCAGAAAACCUGUCUCAGUCCGGAUUGAAGUCCGCAACUCGACUUCAUGAAGGCGGAAUCGCUAGUAACCGCGAAUCAGCAGGUCGCGGUGAAUACGUUCCCGGGUCUU
rnacentral:rRNA from 1 species